CUUGAAGCACUGUGAGAAACUUGUAGUGCUGACUGGAAGGGCUUAGGAGGAUAACCCCUAUCAUAUAAAUCUCUACCUCUAGACGAGGCACCACUGAAUCUUCCUUACUGACGGGGUAUCUUUUCGGCCCUGUGACCACUCCCCUAUGAUAAUACCAUCUCAACCCUACGGGACAAAUUGGCUACCUACUGGAAAGAUAUCUCACUCCCGGCCUCUCUAACCAUCUGG
rnacentral:lncRNA from 1 species